UAAAUCUUCUAAUUUAUGGAUGGCUAGAGAUGAAGCGUAGCCUUAUCUAUAUCAGAUUAGCAGAGAGAAACCAUUUUCUUAUCAAACCUACUUCUUCUUCUGCAGAUCUACACAUGGGUUUUACUUGGGAAGAAGGAGAAUAUGAGUUACGCUGAUAUCUGGAAUUCUCAUCCUAAGAUUAUGGUCCUGGAUAUCGUAUUUGGUCUUGGAAUGGACAGUAAUGCCGAUCUUGUUUAGGUAACUACGAUUGAAUUCCACUGACGGUUCAGGUGAUGAUGGAACAGAAGAGUGGUUUGUUUCAAAUGAAAGAUCUGUAGUGAGUUUGGCCUCGUUUGUUAAGGGAAUCAAUCUUAAAUAAGAGACCAACAGAACUGCACAAUAAGUGUUAAAGAAAAAUCCUGAAAGAAAGAAAAGGGUUGUUGCUAUAUCACCUUAGCUCAUAAGUUUCAAUCGGUUACCUUUAUUGAAGAGAUUGAUAGCUUUUUUGGGUAGCUACAUGUAGCUAACUGCGAAGCUGUGAAAAAACAUGAAAAUAGAGUUCCAUGGAUGAGAGAAAAUGACUUAAUAGCUAAAAAAGUCUGUUGCUUAUGAAUUGUAGCUCAGUUUGCUGCCAUAUAAGCAGCCAUAAGCAACAAUUCAUCUCCAUCACUAUAUUAGGCUAACACCAGUUCAGACUUCCUCUUACACAUUCCUCCAAGCAGUUUUUGACCAUGCAUACCCAGUUGCUCUGUUGGAUGAGGAGAAAGUUCUUUCUAUAGGAAGGCAGAUUAGUGCAGUAGGUAUUUCUAGCUCCAAAGAUGGGGUUCCACAAAUCAAAUCAUCACAGGACCUCCCCUGUUUCUUGACUGAGAAGACUAAAGAUCAGCUGGUGGUGGAUAUGGCGUUUAGUACAAAGUGUUUAUUUUGGGGUGGACUUAUUCUAGGGUCGCUUUCAAUCGGAAUACUAGGCUAUGCUACCAUCAGCUGGUGUUGAGCAGCUGUAUGAAUGUUGAAACAUUACUUUCUUUUUCUUUUUUGCGAAAGGAAGGGUGUGCGUGUUUCCCUUACAGUGCAAAUUUCACAGUUGGUGGUGAGACGGAAGAGCGCAUGAUGAUGACUGGUCUACAUAGUGUUUGCGAUAUAUUCUGUGUUGGUUGUAGAUCAAUUGUGGGAUGGAAGUAGUUGCACAAGAGAAGAGUCAGAGAUAUAAAGAAGGAAAAUUCAUUCUUGAGAGGUUUCAGGUGUUGGGUCCAGAAGGGACCUUGUAUUAUUUCAACAACUAUCCUGAAGCUAGAGGUAGCGAAGCAGAUGAUAUGUGAAGAUGUUAACAGAUAACACCUUAUGUAAUGCUCAACCAUAUGAUAUUUGAUAACUGCUGAUCCCGACUGUACAUUCUCUCCCAACCAUGUAUAAGCUCUCUCCAAUUUCAUGUAGAUUUUCAGAUGUUUGAUUUUGUUCAACACCAUAGUAUAGGACCACCAUUAUAAUGCUGCAACUCUUAAGCAGUAAUGUCGAUAUCGGCUCAAUUGCUGGUUCAUUUCUUUUGGUUAUAAUGCACAUGGUAUAUGAGACUGGUUGGUGAGUUUGAGCAUAUAGACUGUCUAUAGAAUAUUCUCAACAACAAAUUGAUGGCAAAACAUUGUUUCUCAACUGAGUGAAUGAAGGCAUAAAUGGUGAAGUCUUGCGGGUGCUGAUGGUAAAAAAGGUGGUUGUGGGCAUCAAGCGACUCCAUACCCAUUGGAAGGAUUUUAAUGGUGUCUGAUAUUGUUGUUGAAGGAUUUGAACAUUCAUUCACCUCUUGAUGCUGUCAGGGAGAUGAUGAAUGUCGUCUCUCUCUUCUCGAUGGUCUCAUGAGGGUCACUGAUGUCAUGGUUGAUGAUAAGAUCACUGUUGCUGCUGGAUAAGGAGAUGAUCGGAAGGGUUGUGCAUCUGCAGUUCUGCUCACAAGCAAGCUGGUGCCAAGGUCAUAAUGAUUGAAAUUGUUGUUAAAAUUUUUAGGACUUGUAUUACGUCUGUUUAUGAAACCUUGUUUUUAUGAGGACAUCUCAAUGUAAUGGAUCAGUCAUUUUAUUAGAUGAAUCAGGUUUAUAUGGAAUUAGAAUUUUAGUUGUCAUUUGAA